ACCCAUAAACUUUAUAUCUUAGCUUUGCCUUGAAUUGGAGACACAAAUUAUGGUUUAAAGUUAAUAGCUUAUAUCUAUUGACUAAAAUAAGACCUUAAUUAACCAUGGUUAGAAUAACAAAUUCCCUCCUAUAUCCAAAAAUCCCAUAUUCCUCCCUCUUCCCGCCAAAAUACAUCUGCUCUCAAAAGUUUGAAAACACCGAAAAUCAUUUCACCAGAUAAAGUCUUUCAGAGUUUUAACAUGGAAAUCAAGUUUCUGAAGAUCAUUGUUAGAUUAAAAAUCAAUAGAAUUGAAUACAAGAAGUGGAAAAAAACAGAGAACAAAACAGCAAGUCGUGGAGCUCCAUUUUCGCUCGAAAAAUACUAACAAAUUCUCACCAGAAAAUUUCUGAUAGAGGCGGAAAAGAGACAAGAAUAUAGAAAAUAGAAGGAAGAUGAAGAAGAAGGCUUGAGCGUGAUAUGAUUACUGUCUCAAAAGAGUGAUCGUCUGUCCAUUGGGUCAGAAGCGGAGCUAAAAUUUGAAAUUUAUGGGUUCUGAAUUCGUCGCCGAACCCAUAACUUGUCUUAGCUAUUGGGUUCACAGUUAAAUAUUUAUACAUAUUUUAUACAUUUUUCUAAUACAAAUACUGGGUUUAAGCAAAAGCUAUUGGGUUCGUCAAACCCAUAGUUACUGCUCUCCCUCCGCCCCUGUUAAUGGGGUUAGCAGACAAUGCUCACAAUGCUCUUCUGGGAAUACAACAAGCUAAGCCUGUUACCAAUUAUUUCUCUCGCAUACCUCAAAAUAAUUCUUGAAAUCAUAUUUUACUCAAGGUACUUGAAAAUUAAUUCUUUUAGUAAAUCUAUUUUAACUCAUGUUACCUGAGAAUAUACUAUCAUUUCACUCCAAUAUUACGAACUCUAUGACACCUCUUCCUUUGGCUAAAGUUUACUUUAUUCAAGGUCUCAUGUUGGUUUCGAGAUGGAUAAUUCGUCUCGUUAUUAUAAUUUUGGACAACCUCACUUCAAAAGUUAGCUUCUGUAUUCAGUUAGGUCUAAGGUCCAUUUCUUAAUAUGGUCCACGCUCUAGAGGUCCAGUCCUAAGCGUCAGGAUGCCGGUGUUAAAAGUCCCACGGAUCGAUUGUGUGACACAUAAUUGUUCUUCUUAUAUAUAUGGUGUUAGACAAUCUUCACUUCACAACUUUUGGGGUUGAGUUAGACCAACGUAAUUCCAUAUGUGCUAUUGCAAUUUUUUUUGUACACAAAAUGAUCCUAUAGGCUACAACAACGAUCUGCACAUUUUCUGCAAAACUCUGGCAUAUAGAUUACAAAUAAUUCACAAGAUUUGUGCCUUGAUAUUCGUAUAUACUUCGAUAUUUAUUCUACAAUGGACAAUGGCCUUGAGUUUACUAGCAACAAGGCAUCGUUUACUUCUUUGAUUAAGAUUACCAGGAUAGACGACUUAUAUUAUUUUAUCUUAUUUCCAACUGUUCAAUCACUUUCUUUGCAAGUAUUUUAUAAUUUAUAACCAAAGUCAGAUACUUGAAGCAAUUGGGGUAAUUGACAAUUUGUUGAUAUUUGCAUUGGCUUGCGUAGCUAGCCUUUGCAUGUCGAGAGAGUGACAUCACAGGCGGACCCACACUAUAGGGAUAGGGGUAUACAUGUUAAUCGGGCCGGGCUGACCCGUUUUCAGCCCGCUUCAACCCGGGGCAGCCCGGUUCAGCCCGCUACUGUAGCAUAUAGGGCGGGCUGGGACGGGUUGGACGGGGAGCGAGUUUUAGACGAACACAUUUUGGAUACCGGUGCACCGAAACCUGCUAAGCCCGCUAACCCGUUAACGGGUUGUUAACGGGCUGCAGCCCGGUUCAGCCCGUUAAUGGGUUAAAUUUUUAUUUUUUUUUAAUUUGUGUACCAUUGCUAACAAAAUUUAAUUAAAAAAAAAAAAUUUAGCACAGCCCGCCCGAGCCCGUUUAAGCCCGAACCUGUACGGGCCCACAAAAACCCGCAAAAACACAACCCACUAACAGCCCGCUAUCCCCAACCCGCUAAUCGAACGGGCUGGGGUUUUUCCCGUUCAGCCCGUCCCAGCCCGCCCGAUAAACACCUAUAGAUAGGGGUCACCAGCCCCCGGAAAUUUCGGUAAAAACCCUAUGUAUACUUGCAAAUAUCUUUAAGAAAUAGUCAAAUAUUAGUAUAGCCUCCCGUAUCCAUCUUUAUGAGCAGUAAUAAAUUUAUAUUGAAUGUUAUGGUGUCCCCGCGACUGCUGAAUCCUGGUCCGAUCUGAGUGACAUUGAGAAUAUCUCACAAUUUUGGGCAUCUACUCCAUCUGAUUCAAAUAAGUAUCGUUUAAGAUUUUGACAUACCCUUUAAGAAAACUACCAAACAAUUUGAAACAAACUGUUUCAAAUUAAAGAUACGUACCAAACCAUGUAACUUUAAACCCUAGUUCAGUUAACUCAAGUGAAUUAAUUAAACUCAAAGAAAGGGAAUCCCUAUGCGUUUUACUCUGUUUCAGCUCCGUUUUGUCAAACCAAAAAAGAACAAUUUCUCACAAAAGCUUCACUUUGCUUCUAACUUCUACUAUGUGUUAGCUUCUUUCUUGAUAAGAUUUGAUUAAUUUUAUUUUUCCUAUGCUUUUCGAUAUUUUCUCCUUUCUCUACAUGUAUACAUAGAGGUAGCACGCAGGGGCUGAUUCAGGGGGAAGGAAGGGUGUUCACCCGAACCCCGUUCGCCGAAAAAUUAUACGUAAUCCUGCCUUCGCCACUGGUGGCAUGUAUGAUGAUCCAUAGUUUUCUUUUUCUUCUUGAAGCACGACGAAUCGUUACAGCAACUCUUUCUCUUUCUGCUUCUCUUGAGUUAACGGGGACGGAUCUAGAGGGUCGGCUAAGAGUUCACGUGAUUUCAGUAAUCUUUGC